UACAUGGAAUGCAAACGUUGCUCGGAAUUAUUGGGCGUAAAGCGCGCGUAGGCGGUUACUCAAGUCGGAUGUGAAAGCCCUCGGCUUAACUGAGGAAGUGCACCCGAAACUGAGUAGCUAGAGUACUAAAGAGGGUCGCGGAAUUCCCGGUGUAGAGGUGAAAUUCGUAGAUAUCGGGAGGAACACCGGUGGCGAAGGCGGCGACCUGGGUAGAUACUGACGCUGAGGCGCGAAAGCGUGGGGAGCAAACAGG
rnacentral:rRNA from 1 species